rnacentral:rRNA from 1 species
UACGAGGGGGGCGAGCGUUGUUCGGAAUUAUUGGGCGUAAAGGGCGCGUAGGCGGUGCGGUAAGUCACCUGUGAAACCUCUGGGCUUAACUCAGAGCCUGCAGGCGAAACUGCCGUGCUGGAGUGUGGGAGAGGUGCGUGGAAUUCCCGGUGUAGCGGUGAAAUGCGUAGAUAUCUGGAGGAAUACCGGUGGCGAAGGCGGCAUCCUGGACCGGCAUUGACGCUGAUGAGCGAAAGCUAGGGGAGCAAACGGG